CACGGAAUUAGCCGGUCCUUAUUCAUAUGGUACCUGCAAAAGGGAACACGUUCCCCACUUUAUCCCCAUAUAAAAGCAGUUUACAACCCAUAGGGCCGUCAUCCUGUACGCUACUUGGCUGGUUCAGACUUGCGUCCAUUGACCAAUAUUCCUCACUGCUGCCUCCCGUAGGAGUUUGGACCGUGUCUCAGUUCCAAUGUGGGGGACCUUCCUCUCAGAACCCCUACUGAUCGUUGCCUUGGUGGGCCGUUACCCCGCCAACAAGCUAAUCAGACGCAUCCCCAUCCAUAACCGAUAAAUCUUUAUUCGUAAUCUCAUGAGAUCAAACGAAUACAUAAGGUAUUAGUCCAACUUUCGCUGGGUUAUCCCUUAGUUAUGGGCAGGUUGGAUACGCGUUACUCACCCGUGCGCCGGUCGCCGACAUAAAUAGCAAGCUAUCUAUUCGCUGCCCCUCGACUUGCAUGUGUUAAGCCUAUAGCUAGCGUUCAUCCUGAGCCAGGAUCAAACUCU
rnacentral:rRNA from 1 species